rnacentral:lncRNA from 1 species
GUGGAGGUCCUUGAAUGCCAGCAACCAAGCAAAAUAAAAAUAGCCUUUAGAAUUUCAAUAGCCUUGUAAAUCCUAUCGGUUGAAUUUUUCAACGAUUUGAACCCCUUCUCCAUCAGAUCUGAAACCCAUCUUUUGGAACCUGAAAGUACUCUUGAUGAAGCCUCCAAAAAAUAAAAGAUGAGACCUGAAACUCCUCUUGGGUGG